rnacentral:rRNA from 1 species
AGUGAGCGUUGGCGGCGUGGAUUAGGCAUGCAAGUCGAGCGAGAACCGUAGCAAUACGGGGACAGCGGCGAAAGGGACAGUAAUGUGUAGGUACCUACCUCCGGGUUCGGGAUAGCUGCGGGAAACUGCAGGUAAUACCGAAUAACGUCUCCGGACCAAAGGUGUGAUUCCACCUGGAGAGGGGCCUGCAUCCUAUUAGCUAGUUGGGGAGGUAACGGCUCACCAAGGCGACGAUGGGUAGCGGGUGUGAGAGCACGACCCGCGUCAUUGGGACUGAGACACUGCCCAGACACCUACGGGUGGCUGCAGUCGAGGAUCUUCGGCAAUGGGCGCAAGCCUGACCGAGCGACGCCGCGUGCGGGAUGAAGGCCUUCGGGUUGUAAACCGCUGUCGUAGAGGAGGAAAUGCAGGGGGGUUCUCCCCUCUGUUUGACCUAUUCUAGGAGGAAGGACGGGCUAAGUUCGUGCCAGCCGCCGCAGUAA